GAUGAACGCUGGCGGCGUGCUUAACACAUGCAAGUCGAACGGGAAAUAUUUCAUUGAGACUUCGGUGGAUUUGAUUUAUUUCUAGUGGCGGACGGGUGAGUAACGCGUGGGUAACCUGCCUUAUACAGGGGGAUAACAGUCAGAAAUGGCUGCUAAUACCGCAUAAGCGCACAGAGCUGCAUGGCUCAGUGUGAAAAACUCCGUUGGUAUAAGAUGGACCCGCGUUGGAUUAGCUAGUUGGUGGGGUAACGGCCCACCAAGGCGACGAUCCAUAGCCGGCAUGAGAGGGUGAACGGCCACAUUGGGACUUAGACACGGCCCAGACUCCUACGGGAGGCAGCAGUGGGGAAUAUUGCAAAAUGGGGGAAACCCUGAUGCAGCGACGACGCGUGAAGGAAGAAGUAUCUCGGUAUGUAAACUUCUAUCAGCAGGGAAGAUAGUGACGGUACCUGACUAAGAAGCCCCGGCUAACUACGUG
rnacentral:rRNA from 1 species